GAUGAGGUAGAUAGCCUAGAAGUGGACGUGCGGUGACGCAUGGAGCGGACUAGUACUAAUGGUUCGAGGACUUAACCAAG
rnacentral:rRNA from 1 species